rnacentral:rRNA from 1 species
GACAGGUUGGUGCAUGGUUGUCGUCAGCUCGUGUCGUGAGAUGUUGGGUUAAGUCCCGCAACGAGCGCAACCCUCGCCUCUAGUUGCCAGCAUUCGGUUGGGCACUCUAGAGGGACUGCCGGCGACAAGUCGGAGGAAGUGGGAUGACGUCAAAUCAUCAUGCCCCUUAUGACCUGGGCUACACACGUGCUACAAUGGGCGGUACAAAGGGCUGCGAACCCGCAGGGGGAGCGAAUCCCAAAAAGCCGCUCUCAGUUCGGAUUGCAGGCUGCAACUCGCCUGCAUGAAGCCGGAAUCGCUAGUAAUCGCGGAUCAGCAUGCCGCGGUGAAUACGUUCCCGGGCCUU